rnacentral:lncRNA from 1 species
UCCUCCCGGCAGUCCCAGCAAGGACUCGAUCUUUAAAAGAGCAAAAGCUGAAUAUUCAUUCAAUGGAAAAAAUCCGAAAGAACUUUCAGUGAGCCAAGGAGAUGAACUCAUGGUAUGUACGGUGGCAUACAAUCCUCCAAUAAAUAGAAUUGAAAGACAGAGUUCAAUUUUCUUGCUAUCACCCAACCAUCGCCUGACAUUUUCUGUUUAUUCAUUGUAGAUUUUAGAUGACAGUCGCCAGUGGUGGUGUGUGCGAAAUUCAAAUGGUGGUGUUGGAUUUGUUCCUAAUACGAUCUUUAAAAAAUCAGGUUUGUAUAUAAGUAUAGUCCUCAGUGGCGUAGCAAACUCGAUAAUUGGGGGGGGGGCAAUAUUCAUAUAUUCGUGUUCACUGACCUUAAAAACA